rnacentral:rRNA from 2 species
UGGCGAACUGGUGAGUAACACGUGGGAAACCUGCCCAGAAGCGGGGGAUAACACCUGGAAACAGAUGCUAAUACCGCAUAACAACUUGGACCGCAUGGUCCGAGUUUGAAAGAUGGCUUCGGCUAUCACUUUUGGAUGGUCCCGCGGCGUAUUAGCUAGAUGGUGGGGUAACGGCUCACCAUGGCAAUGAUACGUAGCCGACCUGAGAGGGUAAUCGGCCACAUUGGGACUGAGACACGGCCCAAACUCCUACGGGAGGCAGCAGUAGGGAAUCUUCCACAAUGGACGAAAGUCUGAUGGAGCAACGCCGCGUGAGUGAAGAAGGGUUUCGGCUCGUAAAACUCUGUUGUUAAAGAAGAACAUAUCUGAGAGUAACUGUUCAGGUAUUGACGGUAUUUAACCAGAAAGCCACGGCUAACUACGUGCCAGCAGCCGCGGUAAUACGUAGGUGGCAAGCGUUGUCCGGAUUUAUUGGGCGUAAAGCGAGCGCAGGCGGUUUUUUAAGUCUGAUGUGAAAGCCUUCGGCUCAACCGAAGAAGUGCAUCGGAAACUGGGAAACUUGAGUGCAGAAGAGGACAGUGGAACUCCAUGUGUAGCGGUGAAAUGCGUAGAUAUAUGGAA